rnacentral:rRNA from 1 species
AUUGAACGCUGGCGGCAUGCCUUACACAUGCAAGUCGAACGGCAGCACGGGUGCUUGCACCUGGUGGCGAGUGGCGAACGGGUGAGUAAUACAUCGGAACAUGUCCUGUAGUGGGGGAUAGCCCGGCGAAAGCCGGAUUAAUACCGCAUACGAUCUACGGAUGAAAGCGGGGGACCUUCGGGCCUCGCGCUAUAGGGUUGGCCGAUGGCUGAUUAGCUAGUUGGUGGGGUAAAGGCCUACCAAGGCGACGAUCAGUAGCUGGUCUGAGAGGACGACCAGCCACACUGGGACUGAGACACGGCCCAGACUCCUACGGGAGGCAGCAGUGGGGAAUUUUGGACAAUGGGCGAAAGCCUGAUCCAGCAAUGCCGCGUGUGUGAAGAAGGCCUUCGGGUUGUAAAGCACUUUUGUCCGGAAAGAAAUCCUUGGCUCUAAUACAGUCGGGGGAUGACGGUACCGGAAGAAUAAGCACCGGCUUACUACGUG